CGCGGCCGCUCCGUGCGCCGGCCAGUGCCAGGCGCCCCGCGUCACCCCCUGCGCGAGCUCUCCGGAGGCGGUGGGGAGCAGCUUGCCGCCGGUGUUGGUGGCCGGAGGCCGCCGCUCAGGAGUUUCUAGACUGCAGAAAAAUGCGGAUGACUCGACAGUGAAAUUUUUUGUUGCCUCUGAAAGUAACGUUUUAUGAGCUACCGUUAUAUCAGUGCUGCGUGCUCCUACUUCAGUACCUUAUCCAUCUUAUGCGGAGCUGCAGGAACAAUGACCAUCUGGGUGAAAAUAGAGUAUUUUAGAAAAACACCUUUUGUGUCCCAUGUCUGCAUUUAAAGAAUGUCUGUUUAGUAUUGGGUUUGAGAAGUAAAUACUACAGGGAAUUUUUUCAGCAUGACUUACCAAACUUUAUGGCUUCAAAGGAAGAAAUAGAAGCUUCAUUUUCAGUACUUCCUUAGGAUGCUGUUUAUUUGAUGAAACUAUUAUGCCAUAAAACCAGAAAGACUUGUGAAGGAUGAUGGUCUCUGGCAAUGUUUAUCCACACAAAUCACUUCCUUUCUUGGAAUCAGAAGUGUUCUUAUAUAGAGCACGAAACACAAAGAGCAGAAAUCCAAGAGUUAAACCAAAGCACACUAUUAAAUAAAGGCACUAUUGGGAGAACAUGGAAAGGCAAUGUCAAUGUGGGCCUGAGAGAUUCUGAGUCUUCUUCCAAUGUCCUGUUCCCCUGUUUGUUCCACACAGAUCACCACCACACAGGCAUUCUUCAGGAGGAGGAACAUGCAAGCAGAAUUCCCUCAUUUCAGACAGGAAGAGGUUGUUGAAUAAUGGGAAUAUACUUUUGGAGAAUGUAUUAUAGGUCUGGUGGAAAAACCCUCAUUAACUAAUGCAAACUAACCCUGAUUAACUAAUGCAAACUCUUUUCCCAAGGUGGUUUGCAUCUCACUGCAAGUUCCCAUUAUUUUGUUCAGAAGUAGAAAUGUGGAAUUUAGGCAAAUGUGGAAAUGCUCAUUUGUUGAAGAAAG